rnacentral:lncRNA from 1 species
CACGUGAGCAGCCAUCUCAUCAGAGUGGAGAAUGAAACUUGACACACAGAGUGAGUGCCUAUCACUAUCUAAGCUUCCAGGUAAAAUAUGCAGCAAAAACCUUGGUCCAGAUAAUCACCACGUUCUGAAGAUGAAAAAUAACAGCUGUCUUUGGUACUCAUUUGCUUGUAAAAACUUUUCUCUAAGAAAAUCUUGUGAAGUCCUAUACGUUUGAAAUGUACUUGUUCCAUGAUCUUUGAAAUAAAUGCUUAAGAACCAUGAAAUUACUUUGGGUGAGGGUGGGGGGAUGUGUUGAUUAUUUGAUUGCAAACAAUUUUGUUCAUUUAACUAUUCAUUAACAUAAAAAGAUGAAAAAUUCUUGGAACAUAUUUUGCAUAGAUUUAGAACUUAAAGAAUUUAAUCAAAAGUAAAUAUAACCUUGAGAAAUUAAGCAAUUAAAUAUUAGGGAACUAAAUGCUAGACUAGUAUGAUUAAUACUGUGGGUAUUUUUUUUUCUUUUUCUUGUGGGGGAAGUCCUUGGUUAUUAGAAACUUGUAAGAUUACUAAGGACAUAACCUCAAGGGACUCACUUCUCAAUAUCCAAAAGGAGGAACAGAAAGAAAAGACCUCGUCUUAAAAGGUCUGGCUUAGAGAUGCUUAUAGAUAUAGGUUUGAAAAAGCAAUCCCCUAUAGAAGUAGGGAGGUGAGAGAAAACUCAGCAGCCUUAAAUAAGCAAAGGAAACUUUAGUAACUCUAGGAAAAGUAGAAGUGAUUUUAGCUCAAUAUCUCAUAGCUCUGUUCCAUAGGGCUGCGAGCUCCUUAAGAGCUAGCCUGUGUCUAAUUCAUCUUUGCUACUCCAAAGCCUAACAUAGCACCUUGGCAUAGUAGACAUCCAAUAAAUAUUUGUUGAGUGAAUGUUACCUAAUGUUUCUUGAGUGCUUAUUAUAUGUCAGGCUAAGUCUAAGUGCUUUACGUGUAUUAACUUUAAAUUUCAUGACAACCCUAAGGGGUAGAUACUUUUAACAUUGCCAUUUUAAGAGGAGAAAACUGAGACACAGGUAAUUUAAGUAAUUUGUUCAAGGUUUCACAAGUAGCAUGUGGCUCAGCUAGGAUUUGAACAU